GGCUCCGUGGCGUAAUGGUGGCGCGUCGGAUUCCAAUGAUUGUUGGUACUAUCCGAAGGUUGGGGGUUCGAUCCCCUCCGGGGUCA
rfam:Chlamydomonas reinhardtii strain CC-503 cw92 mt+ CHLREscaffold_4 genomic scaffold, whole genome shotgun sequence.